CUUCUAAAGGAUUCUUUAUUGCCAUGUCCUCCAGUUCACAGUACAUGAACAACAUUUAGUCAAUUGACUUCCUGUGAGGGAAAGAACAGGUUUAGAGGUGGCAUCAUACUGAAAACAUGUUUUUGUGUUUUACAAUACAUUCCCUCAGUGUGCCACUGCCUGGUUAUGGUAACGUCAGCUCUUUAACUGGCUGAGCUGAGUGCAUAAUGUGUGCUACUGUUCUGACCUGAUGUGUGGCCCAGGCCUGCCGUAAACCUACACCAGGGAUAUGACUUCAUGUGUGCUUCUACUGGUAAUCAUGUACUCUAUUCUAUCUUGACAUUCCAGCUCUGUGUGGUAAGUAGGACAUAUACUGACACCAUGGUUUCCUGUAAGGAUGGUGUCAUGACAUAAAAGGCAAACCAAUGAGGAUAACAGGAAAACACUUCAUUUAUCCGUGCUCUUACAGCAUGGAGGGGUGGAGGCAACAUCCACAUGUCUCUACCAGGGAUCUUUCUCAUAGGUUUACUAUUGGCUGGGUGGAGAUCAUUUUCCAGCUGAAGUAGCCUACAGCAGGUGAGUGAAUGGCCUAUUGAAUUGUUCUGUGUCAGGUGUCAGACAUACAUUCUGUGUUAGGUGUCAGACAUACGUUCUGUGUUAGGUGUCAGACAUACGUUCUGUGUUAGGUGUCAGACAUACGUUCUGUGUCAGGUGUCAGACAUAUGUUCUGUGUUAGGUGUCAGACAUACGUUCUGUGUCAGACAUACGUUCUGUGUUAGGUGUCAGACAUACGUUCAGUGUCAGGUGUCAGACAUAUGUUCUGUGUUAGGUGUCAGACAUACGUUCUGUGUCAGACAUACGUUCUGUGUUAGGUGUCAGACAUACGUUCAGUGUCAGGUGUCAGACAUACGUUCUGUGUCAGACAUACGUUCUGUGUUAGGUGUCAGACAUACGUUCUGUGUCAGACAUACGUUCUGUGUCAGGUGUCAGACAUACGUUCUGUGUCAGGUGUCAGAUAUACGUUCUGUGUCAGGUGUCAGACAUACGUUCUGUGUCAGGUGUCAGACAUACGUUCUGUGUUAGGUGUCAGACAUACGUUCUGUGUCAGGUGUCAGACAUACGUUCUGUGUUAGGUGUCAGACAUACGUUCUGUGUCAGACAUACGUUCUGUGUUAGGUGUCAGACAUACAUUCUGUGUCAGGUGUCAGACAUACGUUCUGUGUCAGACAUACGUUCUGUGUUAGGUGUCAGACAUACGUUCUGUGUCAGGUGUCAGACAUACGUUCAGUGUCAGGUGUCAGACAUACGUUCUGUGUCAGGUGUCAGACAUACGUUCUGUGUUAGGUGUCAGACAUACGUUCUGUGUCAGGUGUCAGACAUACGUUCUGUGUUAGGUGUCAGACGUACAUUCUGUGUCAGACAUACGUUCUGUGUUAGGUGUCAGACAUACGUUCUGUGUCAGGUGUCAGACAUACGUUCUGUGUUAGGUGUCAGACAUACGUUCUGUGUCAGGUGUCAGACAUACGUUCUGUGUUAGGUGUCAGACAUACGUUCUGUGUCAAACAUACGUUCUGUGUUAGGUGUCAGACAUACAUUCUGUGUCAGGUGUCAGACAUACGUUCUGUGUCAGACAUACGUUCUGUGUUAGGUGUCAGACAUACGUUCUGUGUCAGGUGUCAGACAUACGUUCUGUGUUAGGUGUCAGACGUACGUUCUGUGUCAGGUGUCAGACAUACGUUCUGUGUUAGGUGUCAGAUGUACGUUCUGUGUUAGGUGUCAGACAUACGUUCUGUGUUAGGUGUCAGACAUACGUUCUGUGUCAGACAUACGUUCUGUGUCAGGUGUCAGACAUACGUUCUGUGUCAGGUGUCAGACAUACGUUCUGUGUGAGGUGUCAGACAUACUUUCUGUGUCAGACAUACGUUCUGUGUCAGACAUACGUUCUGUGUUAGACAUACGUUCUGUGUUAGGUGUCAGACAUACGUUCUGUGUCAGACAUACGUUCUGUGUUAGGUGUCAGACAUACGUUCUGUGUCAGACAUACGUUCUGUGUUAGGUGUCAGACAUACGUUCUGUGUCAGGUGUCAGACAUACGUUCUGUGUCAGACAUACGUUCUGUGUCAGGUGUCAGACAUACGUUCUGUGUUAGGUGUCAGACAUACGUUCUGUGUCAAACAUACGUUCUGUGUUAGGUGUCAGACAUACAUUCUGUGUCAGGUGUCAGACAUACGUUCUGUGUCAGACAUACGUUCUGUGUUAGGUGUCAGACAUACGUUCUGUGUCAGGUGUCAGACAUACGUUCUGUGUUAGGUGUCAGACGUACGUUCUGUGUCAGGUGUCAGACAUACGUUCUGUGUUAGGUGUCAGACGUACGUUCUGUGUUAGGUGUCAGACAUACGUUCUGUGUUAGGUGUCAGACAUACGUUCUGUGUCAGACAUACGUUCUGUGUCAGGUGUCAGACAUAUACGUUCUGUGUUAGGUGUCAGACAUACGUUCUGUGUCAGACAUACGUUCUGUGUUAGGUGUCAGACAUACGUUCUGUGUUAGGUGUCAGACAUACGUUCUGUGUCAGGUGUCAGACAUACGUUCUGUGUCAGGUGUCAGACAUACGUUCUGUGUCAGGUGUCAGACAUACGUUCUGUGUCAGGUGUCAGACAUACGUUCUGUGUCAGGUGUCAGACAUACGUUCUGUGUCAGGUGUCAGACAUACGUUCUGUGUUAGGUGUCAGACAUACGUUCUGUGUCAGACAUGCGUUCUGUGUCAGGUGUCAGACAUACGUUCUGUGUCAGGUGUCAGACAUACGUUCUGUGUUAGGUGUCAGACAUACGUUCUGUGUCAGACAUACGUUUUGUGUCAGGUGUCAGACAUACGUUCUGUGUCAGACAUACGUUCUGUGUUAGGUGUCAGACAUACAUUCUGUGUCAGACAUACGUUCUGUGUCAGACAUACGUUCUGUGUUAGGUGUCAGACAUACAUUCUGUGUCAGACAUACGUUCUGUGUCAGGUGUCAGACAUACGUUCUGUGUUAGGUGUCAGACAUACGUUCUGUGUCAGACAUACAUUCUGUGUUAGGUGUCAGACAUACGUUCUGUGUCAGGUGUCAGACAUACAUUCUGUGUCAGGUGUCAGACAUACGUUCUGUGUCAGGUGUCAGAGAUACGUUCUGUGUUAGGUGUCAGACAUAUGUUCUGUGUCAGACAUACGUUCUGUGUUAGGUGUCAGACAUACGUUCUGUGUUAGGUGUCAGACAUACGUUCUGUGUCAGGUGUCAGACAUACGUUCUGUGUCAGACGUACGUUCUGUGUCAGACAUACGUUCUGUGUUAGGUGUCAGACAUACAUUCUGUGUUAGGUGUCAGACAUACGUUCUGUGUUAGGUGUCAGACAUACGUUCUGUGUGAGGUGUCAGACAUACUUUCUGUGUCAGACAUACGUUCUGUGUCAGACAUACGUUCUGUGUUAGACAUACGUUCUGUGUUAGGUGUCAGACAUACGUUCUGUGUCAGACAUACGUUCUGUGUUAGGUGUCAGACAUACGUUCUGUGUCAGACAUGCGUUCUGUGUCAGACAUACGUUCUGUGUCAGGUGUCAGACAUACGUUCUGUGUUAGGUGUCAGACAUACGUUCUGUGUCAGACAUACGUUCUGUGUUAGGUGUCAGACAUACGUUCUGUGUCAGGUGUCAGACAUACGUUCUGUGUUAGGUGUCAGACAUACGUUCUGUGUCAGACAUACGUUCUGUGUCAGGUGUCAGACAUACGUUCUGUGUUAGGUGUCAGACAUACAUUCUGUGUCAGACAUACGUUCUGUGUCAGGUGUCAGACAUACGUUCUGUGUUAGGUGUCAGACAUACGUUCUGUGUUAGGUGUCAGACAUACAUUCUGUGUCAGAUAUACAUUCUGUGUCAGACAUACAUUCUGUGUCAGACAUACGUUCUGUGUUAGGUGUCAGACAUACGUUCUGUGUUAGGUGUCAGACACGUUCUGUGUUAGGUGUCAGACAUACGUUCUGUGUCAGGUGUCAGACAUACGUUCUGUGUUAGGUGCAGACAUACGUUCUGUGUCAGACAUACGUUCUGUGUCAGGUGUCAGACACGUUCUGUGUUAGGUGUCAGACAUACGUUCUGUGUCAGGUGUCAGACAUACGUUCUGUGUCAGGUGUCAGACAUACGUUCUGUGUUAGGUGCAGACAUACGUUCUGUGUCAGACAUACGUUCUGUGAUGCAUAAAUGGGUCUUCAAAGUGCACUCAAGAGUGUGAUUUGGAGGAUGGUUCAUACUUGUCCAAAUUAUUGUGGAAAGUUGUGUUUUUCUGCAUCGAAUUAUUAGAUUUUGAUAGGGUUGGAGAUACUGGUCUUUAACCAGUGCUAUACAGAAUAAUUCCCAAUAACCUAACAAAACCAAACACAAAUUUCAUAUCGUCUUCAUAUAUAACCCAUUUGACACUUUCCUGGGGUCCCUAACCCCAUCUUAUUGUAGGUCUUCUUUUAAAUGUAAUUAG
rnacentral:lncRNA from 1 species